rnacentral:rRNA from 1 species
UUAGUGGAAGCGUCUGGAAAGGCGUGCGAUACAGGGUGACAGCCCCGUACACAAAAAUGCACAUAUUGUGAGCUCGAUGAGUAGGGCGGGACACGUGGUAUCCUGUCUGAAUAUGGGGGGACCAUCCUCCAAGGCUAAAUACUCCUGACUGACCGAUAGUGAACCAGUACCGUGAGGGAAAGGCGAAAAGAACCCCGGCGAGGGGAGUGAAAAAGAACCUGAAACCGUGUACGUACAAGCAGUGGGAGCCUCUUAAUGGGGUGACUGCGUACCUUUUGUAUAAUGGGUCAGCGACUUAUAUUCUGUAGCAAGGUUAACCGAAUAGGGGAGCCGAAGGGAAACCGAGUCUUAACUGGGCGUUAAGUUGCAGGGUAUAGACCCGAAACCCGGUGAUCUAGCCAUGGGCAGGUUGAAGGUUGGGUAACACUAACUGGAGGACCGAACCGACUAAUGUUGAAAAAUUAGCGGAUGACUUGUGGCUGGGGGUGAAAGGCCAAUCAAACCGGGAGAUAGCUGGUUCUCCCCGAAAGCUAUUUAGGUAGCGCCUCGUGAAUUCAUCUCCGGGGGUAGAGCACUGUUUCGGCAAGGGGGUCAUCCCGACUUACCAACCCGAUGCAAACUGCGAAUACCGGAGAAUGUUAUCACGGGAGACACACGGCGGGUGCUAACGUCCGUCGUGAAGAGGGAAACAACCCAGACCGCCAGCUAAGGUCCCAAAGUCAUGGUUAAGUGGGAAACGAUGUGGGAAGGCCCAGACAGCCAGGAUGUUGGCUUAGAAGCAGCCAUCAUUUAAAGAAAGCGUAAUAGCUCACUGGUCGAGUCGGCCUGCGCGGAAGAUGUAACGGGGCUAAACCAUGCACCGAAGCUGCGGCAGCGACACUAUGUGUUGUUGGGUAGGGGAGCGUUCUGUAAGCCUGUGAAGGUGGCCUGUGAGGGUUGCUGGAGGUAUCAGAAGUGCGAAUGCUGACAUAAGUAACGAUAAAGCGGGUGAAAAGCCCGCUCGCCGGAAGACCAAGGGUUCCUGUCCAACGUUAAUCGGGGCAGGGUGAGUCGACCCCUAAGGCGAGGCCGAAAGGCGUAGUCGAUGGGAAACAGGUUAAUAUUCCUGUACUUGGUGUUACUGCGAAGGGGGGACGGAGAAGGCUAUGUUGGCCGGGCGACGGUUGUCCCGGUUUAAGCGUGUAGGCUGGUUUUCCAGGCAAAUCCGGAAAACCAAGGCUGAGGCGUGAUGACGAGGCACUAC